AGCCUCCAAAACAGGCCAAAAAGCCUCAAAAAUGGGCCAAAAAAUGGCCUGAAAAAGGCUGAAAAAAGGCCUGAAAACACUGUAUGCGGAGGCCAAAAAACAGCCGGCGGGUGGGCGGGGCUUCAGCAAUAUUCGAUUUACAAGACGCACAGACAUUUUCGCCGCCUUUUGGGAGACAAAAAAGUGCGUCUUAUAGUCCAAAAAAUAAAGUAAUUCCAAAAAACUGCCCUCCUUUCCACGCUUCUCUAAUGGGUCCGUUAUAAUUUUGUACCGAAAAUCUACAGAUUUGUGUUCCUCUAUUCGUUCAGAAAAUAAAACAAAGCCGCACCUUCAGUUCUAAAGUUUAAAAAGAAGACUGGACCGGAAGGAUUAUCAUCCUGUAAUUAAUUUGUAAUUGUGGGAUUUGAGUUGUACUCUCUUUCUUGGAGUGGGGUGUGAGGGGGUGUGAAUCCUCUUUAGCUGGAUACCAUUAUGUCAUAUGAUUGGAUUGUAAUAUUUGUAAUAAUCGAUUCCACACUAGGAUAAAAAGUAAAAAAAAAAAAAUUUUUUUUUGAGGAAUAUGCCAUUUUUUUUAACGCUCGUUUGAAAAAGGCAGCUCUUUUCCCUGAAAAUUCUUUUGAUGGGCCUUUCCAUGUAAUGAUCUUGCAAAAGACAACUGCGGUACAUUUUCCUACUAAUGUCCCUGUAGAAAAUUGAGCCUGAGACACAUAAAUGAGCAACAUUACCUGGGACACAGUCAAUCAAAUAAGCUACCUUGUCUACGAUACUCAAACUAACCUCAGCCUCGCUCUCAAACUGACGUCCCACCACGAAAUAUAGAAAAGAUGGUUGAAGGAUACGGACUUCCGUCUAGCCCGCCGCAGUACGAGAUCUCCAGCGAGAUAACAAGAAAAAGAGCCGAAUUCUUGGAAAGCUGAAGAGAUGAAAUUAACUAAGGAAGAAUGUCAGUAACUCAGCAAUCUGUCGAUGAUAAACGAAACAAGAAAAUGAGCAGAAGCCACAGGAGUCCUAGAAAACUAGCAGCCAAAGUGGAGAAUAGCAGCAGCAAACAUGGUUUACCACAAGUCUUAAAUGCUUUUGGACUCCGUUCAUAUUCUUUGUUGGAUUAGAUGAGUGGGAUGGAUGACAGCUUGGCUUUCGAUAUUUUUUUUUUUAUUUCCGUAGCGAUAACGUGAAAGCAAGUUUUGGAUCAAGCUGAUGUGAUUUAUUACUUUUUUUGGGUCAUUCCUUCCUCCUGGAGCGUCUGACCUUGGUGGACAUGCAACUUCUCCAGGAACACCCAGCGCAUCGUCUCUGAACCAAGGCAUCCGUGAUCAACACCCUUUUUUAAAUCCAAAACGAACAGAAGGAGAAGUUGGGAAAUGAGAAGAAGCCAGAGAAAAAGAGUGAACGAAUUUUCAGCCACUGAGCAGUUCACUUAAUAUUCAGAUGACAUGAAAUAUAUAAUGUUUAUUAUAAAAAUAUAAAUCUGGAAAAUCAUUGUUUCCUCACAAUUGAAAAUGGAGGGAUAGAUAGAUAGAGAGAUAGAUAGAUGGAGAGAGAUGGAUAGAUAUAGAUCGAUCGAUCGAUCGAUCGAUCGAUCGAUAGAUAGAUAGAUAGAUAGAUGAGGAGAGAUGGAUAGAUAUAGAUUGAUAGAUGAUAGAUAGAUGAUAAAUAGAUAAAUAGAUAGAUAAAUAGUUAUGGAUAGAUGGAUGGAUGGAUAGAGGGAUAGCUAGAUAUGGAUAGAUAGAUAAAUAGAGAUAUAUACUAUUGUGGAAUAUAUUUUCAGAAAUUACUCUUUCAUCUACAGUUUUUUCUCAAAAUGUUCAGUAGUGAGAUUAUGAGUAGUAGCUUCUCUUGCAUUUUGCAGGGCAAUUUUACAAAUGCAUUUGUUUAGUGACUGUUAAAGUUACAGUGGCACUGAAAAAAAGCGACUUAUGACCGUUUUUCACACUUAUGGCCAUUGCAAUGGUCACGUGAUCAAAAAAGCAGAUGCUUGGCAACUGUUUCAUAUUUACGACGGUGGCAGUAUGCCCGGGGUCACAAAUGGGGGACAAAAUUCACUUAACAGGUUUCUCGUUUAGCAACAUAAAUUUUGGGCUUCGUUGUGGUCGUAAGCUGAGGACCACCUGCAUACAGAAAACUCCCCAGCUCA